GGAGGGUGCAGCUCAGUGGUAGAGUUCGUGCCUAACAUGCACGAGAACCUGGGUUCAAUCCCCAGUUCUUCCA
rnacentral:tRNA from 1 species